rnacentral:rRNA from 1 species
GACGAACCGUCCUAACGUUAUUCGGAUUCACUGGGCUUAAAGGGCGCGUAGGCGGUUUACCAAGUCCGGGGUGAAAUCUUUCGGCUUAACCGGAAAAGUGCCUUGGAUACUGGUGAACUCGAGGGAGGUAGGGGCAUGUGGAACUUCCGGUGGAGCGGUGAAAUGCGUUGAUAUCGGAAGGAACGCCGGUGGCGAAAGCGACGUGCUGGCCCUCUUCUGACGCUGAGGCGCGAAAGCUAGGGGAGCAAACGGG